rnacentral:rRNA from 1 species
UACGUAGGGGGCAAGCGUGUCCGGAUUUAUUGGGCGUAAAGCGCACGCAGGCGGUGCGGGUAAGUUUACAAGUGACAGGUGGUGGCUUAACUGCCACAGGGACUUGAAAAACUGCCGCACUGAGGGCUUAGAGGGACGCGGAAUUCCAGGUGGAGCGGUGAAAUGCGUAGAGAUCUGGAGGAAUACCGGUGGCGAAGGCGGCAUCUGGACC